UACGGAGGGUGCGAGCGUUGUUCGGAAUUACUGGGCGUAAAGCGCGCGCAGGCGGCUAUCCAAGUCAGUGGUGAAAGCCCGGAGCUCAACUCCGGAACUGCCAUUGAAACUGUUUAGCUGGAGUAUGAGAGAGGUGAGUGGAAUUCCCAGUGUAGAGGUGAAAUGCGUAGAUAUCGGGAGGAACACCUGUGGCGAAAGCGGCUCACUGGACAGUAACUGACGCUGAUGCGCGAAAGCUAGGGGAGCAAACAGG
rnacentral:rRNA from 1 species